UAGGGAAUUUUCGGCAAUGGGGGAAACCCUGACCGAGCAACGCCGCGUGAAGGAAGAAGGUUUUCGGAUUGUAAACUUCUGUUAUAAAGGAAGAACGGCGGCUACAGGAAAUGGUAGCCGAGUGACGGUACUUUAUUAGAAAGCCACGGCUAACUACGUGCCAGCAGCCGCGGUAAUACGUAGGUGGCAAGCGUUAUCCGGAAUUAUUGGGCGUAAAGAGGGAGCAGGCGGCAGCAAGGGUCUGUGGUGAAAGCCUGAAGCUUAACUUCAGUAAGCCAUAGAAACCAGGCAGCUAGAGUGCAGGAGAGGAUCGUGGAAUUCCAUGUGUAGCGGUGAAAUGCGUAGAUAUAUGGAGGAACACCAGUGGCGAAGGCGACGAUCUGGCCUGCAACUGACGCUCAGUCCCGAAAGCUAAGGUAGCAAACG
rnacentral:rRNA from 1 species